GACGAACGCUGGCGGCGUGCUUAACACAUGCAAGUCGAGCGAUGAAGCUUCUUCGGAAGUGGAUUAGCGGCGGACGGGUGAGUAACACGUGGGUAACCUGCCUCAUAGAGGGGAAUAGCCUUCCGAAAGGAAGAUUAAUACCGCAUAAGAUUGUAGCGUCGCAUGAAGCAGCAAUUAAAGGAGCAAUCCGCUAUGAGAUGGACCCGCGUCGCAUUAGCUAGUUGGUGAGGUAACGGCUCACCAAGGCGACGAUGCGUAGCCGACCUGAGAGGGUGAUCGGCCACAUUGGGACUGAGACACGGCCCAGACUCCUACGGGAGGCAGCAGUGGGGAAUAUUGCACAAUGGGGGAAACCCUGAUGCAGCAACGCCGCGUGAGUGAUGACGGUCUUCGGAUUGUAAAGCUCUGUCUUUAGGGACGAUAAUGACGGUACCUAAGGAGGAAGCCACGGCUAACUACGUGCCAGCAGCCGCAGUAA
rnacentral:rRNA from 1 species